rnacentral:lncRNA from 1 species
CUUCCACAGCUGCGACUAUCCCAGCUAACCGCAGCGUGAAGGAGAGGACGUUCGGCUCCGGCUCCGGCAGCGCCAGCACGGCGGUGAAGAACUCUGUCAGACAGGGGUUGUCACGCAGCAGCUUCACGGUGGGCUCGGCCUCCCUCAGCUCCCGGAACCAAUCGAGCAUUUUCUCCAGGCAGGUGUCAUCGGAGCCGGGCUGCCGCGGGUCGGCCAGAGCGGCACAGACGCGGGGCAGCAGCC